UUGGGAGAAAGCAUGCUUUUCUCCCCUUUCCUAUUUUCAAGUAAUUCUGUGACAAAGAAUCAAGAUAUGUGUAGACCUGACUGGAAAUUCUCUGUGGUUAAAAUAUAAACUGUUUAACACUGUCGUGUUGCCUGCCUCACAAAUGCCUUCUCGGCAGGCCAGGACCUUGAAGAAAGCCAUAAAAGGGAAGGAAUAUAAUUUUGUUUGUUGGCACUUACUGAAAAGCUAAAAGAGAAUAGUAACAGCAAUCCCUUUUGCCAGCUCCAACCAAAGAAGUUGUGAGAUCACAAGUUACAGGGGAAACGAACCUCCCAUGUUCUCGGCUAUGUUACAGAGGAGCGGAAGGGGUCAGUUUAUCAAUACUGAUCUAAAGCAGCACAGAGCAGAUAUGUCAGUUCCAAUCUACAGAGCCAUUGAGGUGUGACCCAGAACCCCAGAGGAGGGCAGUGAGGACUAAGUAGCGCUCUUGGCAUUUCAUGCAUGCCAAUGGGUCUGCUCAUUGAGUAAAGGAAAAUGUUCUCAGGAAAUGAGAAAAAGUCAUACUUCGGAUCAGCAGCACUGAGUCAGAGAGGCUGGGAAGAAUGGAGCUCAGUAUGAAGAAUGAGGAAUGGGGAGAGAGCAAACUGUGCAAUUAGCCAGGACAACAGACACCUGGAGCCGAGAUCGCAGCACUGGUGCUCAUUAAUAGCUGUGGUUAGACAUCCUCCACCCAUCAAGUACAGCUAUUACUGGACUCUUAUCUUCAUAUUAGGACCCUUAGGCUUGUAACAAGGGAAUGUCUGCCUAAGCUGCUUUCAAAGUACCUGGAGUUUAAUAAAUUGUCACCACCACUGUUGUAGUUUAUAAAUUUGAACUCUGAAGAAUCACACAUAACCAAAGAUAGGUGCAGUCACAGUGGAAAGGGCUGUACUCAGGAGCAACUGAAGAGAACGCAUAGCCCAGUUGCCUAAAGAUACAUUUUUAAUCAGUAAAUACCCCGUGAUGAAGAAACUGGUUUCUAGCCAGAGUCACAGGACUGAGAGCUGGAACUUCAGGGAGGGAGACAACCAACCACACGAAGGUAAAAUCAGGUCCAGCAUUCAGAAUCCAGGCUAGCUGGGUGAGCUAGCAGCAGAGAGACAAUAGUUCUUUCCAGCAGACUGGAAUUGCUGACAUUCCUUCAGGCUAAGAA